CCUUCUUGGAAGCGUCCCUCCUCCCUCGGCGGCAGGGAACAGGGCCCAUGUGCCGGGCUGCUCACAUGUGCUCGCGCUGGGGGAGGGUUUGUCACCGGAGCGACUCCUUGCCUGACGACCGGGGCCAGUUAUGUAAAGCAGCGCGAUCCUCGCGCAGGACGCCUAAGGACAAGUCCCCACACCGGCCAGCUCAUGUUUCAGCCCUAUUCCCUCCCAACUAGUCGCUAUGGCACAGGGACAAAGUGGGCUUCUUACCGGGGGAUAAGCGCUUUGGAAAAUGAGAUGAAAUGGAAAAGAAGAUUGAACAAAGAAAGUAAUGCGAAAUGGGUUCAAUCACAAAUACCAAGAAAAAACCCUCCCCCAACCAACAAAUUCUCUCCAACCACAUUUAGAGCAUACACAUGAUGGCCUGCAUCCACCCUGACCGCAGAGAGCAGACUUUGUAGAGGAGCUCGGAGAGCUGCACAUCAAUCCAGUGACCCCGGCCUUGUCAGCAUCUCACUGCAUGCUCAGCAGCUUCUGGGAACACUCUCCCUCUCCUGCCCCGACCUGAC